rnacentral:misc_RNA from 1 species
AAAAGAAAAAAAAUCUGCUGCGCCUGCAAUUCCAUCCAAAUAAAUAAAGUAAAUAAAUUAAUUACUGGGCAAGUGCUAGCUUCGAGGGUCCUUUGGAGUUACACGCACAGCAGCACAAGUUUCAGGAAGCGCUUAAAUAUCACUUUUUGUGUGGGAGGCUAGAAGGAGCGUCAUGGAAUCUUCUUCGAAUCUGCUCGAACGCAAGAAAUCGGUCAGCGAUUUGUCUGCCGAGGUGGAGGAGACCUCCACAGCAACCACUGGCCUGGACUCGUCUGGCCACUCGUCUGCCGGUGCGGGGACCACUGCAACCACAACAGCCACGCAACACGGCAGCGAUGAGACCGAGGAAGAUAUCUUCGAGCAGGUACAAAUGAUACUUCGCAAGCGUCGCGGCUGGGGACCGGAUGAUUCCCUCAGCAAUGAUCUACAUUUGCUGGAGUACGACGAUGAGCUGGGUGAGGAGGACGAUGCCGGAUGCCCACUGCCCUCCACACCGGAGGACACACAGCUCAUCGAGGCUGAGAUGACGGAAGUACUGAAGGCUGGGGUGCUGUCCGACGAAAUCGAUUUGGGUGCAUUGGCCCACAACGCCGCGGAGCAGGCCGAGGAGUUUGUACGCAAGGUGUGGGAGGCCAGCUGGAAGGUGUGCCACUACAAAAACCUACCAAAAUGGCUGCAGGAUAACGAUUUUCUACACCGCGGACAUCGCCCACCGUUGCCCUCGUUCCGCGCUUGCUUCAAAUCGAUUUUCCGCAUUCACACGGAGACGGGAAACAUUUGGACCCAUUUGCUGGGCUUCAUUGCGUUCCUUGGCGUCGCUGUGUACUUCAUUACGCGUCCCUCGGUGGAAAUUCAGACACAGGAGAAGAUCGUUUUUGGCGCCUUCUUUAUUGGGGCAAUUGUUUGCUUAGGAUUCUCAUUUACUUUCCACACACUGAGCUGCCACUCUGUAGAGAUGGGAAGACUGUUUUCAAAACUGGACUACUGUGGAAUCGCGCUGCUAAUUAUGGGAUCUUUUGUGCCUUGGCUGUACUACGGUUUCUACUGUCAUUACCAGCCAAAGGUGAUCUAUCUGUCAGUGGUCUGUGUCCUGGGCGUGCUCUCCAUCAUUGUCUCGCUGUGGGAUAAGUUCUCGGAGCCAGCACUUCGUCCAUUGCGCGCUGGCGUUUUCAUGAGCUUUGGACUGUCCGGCGUCAUUCCAGCCAUUCACUACAGCAUCAUGGAAGGAUGGUUCAGUCAGAUGAGUCGUGCCAGUCUGGGAUGGCUAAUCCUCAUGGGCCUACUCUACAUCAUCGGUGCCUUGCUGUAUGCCCUACGUGUGCCCGAGCGUUGGUUCCCUGGAAAGUUCGACAUUUGGGGACAAUCGCACCAGAUAUUCCACAUCCUUGUGAUUGCUGCGGCCUUUGUGCACUAUCAUGGCAUCUCUGAGAUGGCCAUGUACCGUGUCAUGUAUAGCGAGUGCACCGUGCCGAUUGAGCCUAUUACCUUCUAGAAGCUGAAUGUGGAUACUGAGGAUACAAUCAUACAAUCAUAAAUACAUAGAAUCCCACACAUACGAGUAUAUUCACAUACACAAUACUGCGAUCUAGCGCAAUUUUACAAUGCAACCGUUUUUAGCGUUUGGCAUAAUUUACGCGCAUUUAUCAUCCAAUUCAAAAUCGUUCAUUAUACAAAAGGGAAAUCUAGCAAAACGUUAAUUAUCGAAUGAAAUUUGCAGUAGAGUAAUUAAUAUAUGUACAACUAUUUAUAAAAUUCCAAUUUCGUUUACUUAAUAUUAUCUUUAGUUGAUGAAAGGGAUUGCUUGCAAAGGGACGAAAUGCCAGGGUCAUUCAUGGCCAGGUGGGGAUUGUGGAGCCAUUCCCAUAUUCGCUCAGGCUUACGGUUACUCUCUCUAUACUGUAUAACCAUUCGAAAAGGCAAGCAAUUUCCUCUUUUAAGUUAUAGAAUUAGAUGAAUUAGAAUCAUUAGGAUUACAUGGAAUAGUGAACACAGAUCUAAAACGUUAUACGAGGUCUAAAUUUACGUUAAAUUCUAAAUCCAAUCACACACAUACUCGUACUAGGGCUUGUUUUCACAGCAGCUACCAUCACAUACAUAUAUUACAAUAUGCAUGGCCGAUCUAUUACCAACACGCGGCGAAGUGCAAACAAUAAAUAAAGAGAAGACUUCUGAUUUA